ensembl:lncRNA
GGACUAGAUGAUGAGGUGUAUUAGGACUAGAUGAUGAGGUGUAGUAGGACUAAAUGAUGGUGUGUAUUAGGACUACAUGAUGUUGUGUAUUAGGACUAGAUGAUGAGGUAUAUUAGGACUAGAUGAUGAUAUGUAUUAGGACUAGGUGAUGAGGUGUAUUAGGACUACAUGAUCAGGUGUAUUAGGACUACAUGAUGAGGUGUAUUAGGACUAGAUGAUGAGGUGUAUUAGGACUACAUGAUGAUGUGUAUUAGGACUACAUGAUGAGGUGUAUUAGGACUACAUGAUGAGGUGUAUUAGGACUAGAUAUUGAGGUGUAUUAGGACUAGAUGAU